CAGUCGCCGCGGGAAUACGAAGGGUGCAAGCGUUAAUCGGAAUUACUGGGCGUAAAGCGCGCGUAGGUGGUUCAGCAAGUUGGAUGUGAAAUCCCCGGGCUCAACCUGGGAACUGCAUCCAAAACUACUGAGCUAGAGUACGGUAGAGGGUGGUGGAAUUUCCUGUGUAGCGGUGAAAUGCGUAGAUAUAGGAAGGAACACCAGUGGCGAAGGCGACCACCUGGACUGAUACUGACACUGAGGUGCGAAAGCGUGGGGAGCAAACAGGAUUAGAUACCCCUGUAGUCCCUGUCUCUUAUAC
rnacentral:rRNA from 1 species